rnacentral:rRNA from 1 species
ACGAACGCUGGCGGCAGGCCUAACACAUGCAAGUCGAACGGGCGUAGCAAUACGUCAGUGGCGGACGGGUGAGUAACACGUGGGAAUAUGCCUUUCGGUUCGGAACAACUCGGGGAAACCCGUGCUAAUUCCGGAUACGCCCUUACGGGGAAAGAUUUAUCGCCGAAAGAUUAGCCCGCGUCCGAUUAGCUAGUUGGUGAGGUAAAGGCUCACCAAGGCACCGAUCGGUAGCUGGUUUGAGAGAACGACCAGCCACACUGGGACUGAGACACGGCCCAGACUCCUACGGGAGGCAGCAGUGGGGAAUCUUGGACAAUGGGCGCAAGCCUGAUCCAGCCAUGCCGCGUGAGUGAUGAAGGCCUUCGGGUUGUAAAACUCUUUUGGCGGGGACGAUAAUGACGGUACCCGCAGAAUAAGCUCCGGCUAACUUCGUGCCAGCAGCCGCGGUAAUACGAAGGGGGCUAGCGCUGUUCGGAAUUACUGGGCGUAAAGCGUGCGCAGGCGGCUUCUCAAGUCAGGGGUGAAAGCCCAGAGCUCAACUCUGGAAUUGCCUUUGAGACUGAGUGGCUUGAGUACGAGAGAGGUGAGUGGAAUUCCCAGUGUAGAGGUGAAAUUCGUAGAUAUUGGGAAGAACACCGGUGGCGAAGGCGGCUCACUGGCUCGUAACUGACGCUCAUGCACGACAGCGUGGGGAUCAAACAGGAUUAGAUACCCUGGUAGUCCACGCCGUAAACUAUGAACGCUAGCCGUUGGGUAGCUUGCUAUUCAGUGGCGCAGCUAACGCAUUAAGCGUUCCGCCUGGGGAGUACGGCCGCAAGGUUGAAACUCAAAGGAAUUGACGGGGGCCCGCACAAGCGGUAGAGCAUGUGGUUUAAUUCGACGCAACGCGCAGAACCUUACCAGGGUAUGACAUCCUGUGCUCGCCGGUGAAAGCCGGUUUUCCCCGCAAGGGGCGCAGAGACAGGUGCUGCAUGGCUGUCGUCAGCUCGUGUCGUGAGAUAUUGGGUUAAGUCCCGCAACGAGCGCAACCCUCGCCUUUAGUUGCCAUCAUUCAGUUGGGCACUCUAGAGGGACCGCCGGCGGCAAGCCGGAGGAAGGUGGGGAUGACGUCAAGUCCUCAUGGCCCUUACACCCUGGGCUACACACGUGCUACAAUGGCGGUGACAGUGGGCAGCUAGCUCGCGAGAGUAAGCUAAUCCCAAAAAGCCGCCCCAGUUCAGAUUGCACUCCGCAACUCGAGUGCAUGAAGGUGGAAUCGCUAGUAAUCGCAGAACAGCAGGCUGCGGUGAAUACGUUCCCGGGCCUUGUACACACCGCCCGUCACACCAUGGGAGUUGGCAUUACCCGAAGACGGUGCGCUAACCGCAAGGAGGCAGCCGGCCACGGUAGGGUCAGCGACUGGGGUG